rnacentral:rRNA from 1 species
CCUGACUGCUAUCGGAUUGAUACUAAGCCAUGCGAGUCUUUGUAGUAAUACAAGGCAUACGGCUCAGUAACGCGUAGUCAACCUACCCUAUGGACAAGAAUAAUCUCGGGAAACUGAGCAUAAUUCUUGAUAGAUCAUAAUGCCUGGAAUGGUUUAUGGUUAAAAUGAUUCGUCGCCAUAGGAUGGGACUGCGGCCUAUCAGCUUGUUGGUGAGGUAAUGGCCCACCAAGGCGAUAACAGGUACGGGCUCUGAGAGGAGAAGCCCGGAGAUGGGUACUGAGACAAGGACCCAGGCCCUAUGGGGCGCAGCAGGCGAGAAAACUUUGCAAUGUGCGAAAGCACGACAAGGUUAGUCCGAGUGAUUUCUGCUAAAGAGAUCUUUUGCUAGUUAUAAAACCACUAGUGAAUAAGGGGUGGGCAAGUUCUGGUGUCAGCCGCCGCGGUAAAACCAGCACCUCAAGUGGUCAGGAUGAUUAUUGGGCCUAAAGCAUCCGUAGCCGGCUCUGUAAGUUUUCGGUUAAAUCUAUGCGCUCAACGUAUGGGCUGCCGAAAAUACUGCAGAGAUAGGGAGUGGGAGAGGUAGACGGUACUCGGUAGGAAGGGGUAAAAUCCUUUGAUCUAUCGAUGACCACCUGUGGCGAAGGCGGUCUACCAGAACACGUUCGACGGUGAGGGAUGAAAGCUGGGGGAGCAAACCGGAUUAGAUACCCGGGUAGUCCCAGCCGUAAACGAUGCAGACUCGAUGAUGCAUUGGCAUAUAGCCAGUGCAGUGUCGCAGGGAAGCCGUUAAGUCUGCCGCCUGGGAAGUACGUACGCAAGUAUGAAACUUAAAGGAAUUGGCGGGGGAGCACCACCAAGGGGUGAAGCCUGCGGUUC